AUACGGAGGAUGCGAGCGUUAUCCGGAUUCAUUGGGUUUAAAGGGUGCGUAGGCUGUGCGUUAAGUCAGGGGUGAAAUACCGUCGCUCAACGUCGGGGCUGCCCUUGAUACUGGCGUGCUGGAGUGCGGAUGCCGCCGGAGGAAUGAGUGGUGUAGCGGUGAAAUGCUUAGAUAUCACUCAGAACACCGAUUGCGAAGGCAUCUGGCGAAUCCGUAACUGACGCUGAGGCACGAAAGCGUGGGGAUAGAACAGGAUUAGAUACCCUGGUAUUCCACGCCGUAAACGAUGAUGACUAACCGUCGGCGAUAGACAGCCGGUGGCCAAGCGAAAGCGAUAAGUCAUCCACCUGGGGAGUACGUCGGCAACGAUGAAACUCAAAUGAAUUGGCGGGG
rnacentral:rRNA from 1 species